rnacentral:rRNA from 1 species
GUAGGGGGCAAGCGUUGUCCGGAAUUAUUGGGCGUAAAGCGCGCGCAGGCGGCUAUUUAAGUCUGGUGUUUAAACCUUGGGCUCAACCUGAGGUCGCACUGGAAACUGGGUGGCUUGAGUACAGAAGAGGAAAGUGGAAUUCCACGUGUAGCGGUGAAAUGCGUAGAGAUGUGGAGGAACACCAGUGGCGAAGGCGACUUUCUGGGCUGUAACUGACGCUGAGGCGCGAAAGCGUGGGGAGCAAACCAGGAUUAGAUACCCUGGUAGUCCACGCCGUAAACGAUGAGUGCUAGGCGUUAGGGGUUUCGAUACCCCUUGGUGCCGAAGUUAACACAGUAAGCACUCCGCCUGGGGAGUACGGUCGCAAGACUG